AGUUUGUCCAUCAUUAAGUUAGGGGCACUCUAAAGAGACUGCCGAUGACAAAUCGGAGGAAGUGGGGAUGACGUCAAAUCAUCAUGCCCUUUAUGUCCUGGGCUACACACGUGCUACAAUGGUCGGUACAACGAGAAGCAAGUCAGCGAUGGCAAGCAAAUCUCUAAAAGCCGAUCCCAGUUCGGAUUGCAGGCUGCAACUCGCCUGCAUGAAGUCGGAGUUGCUAGUAAUCGCGGAUCAGAAUGCCGCGGUGAAUGCGUUCCCGGGUCUU
rnacentral:rRNA from 1 species